CUCAGGAUGAACGCUGGCGGCGUGCUUAACACAUGCAAGUCGAACGAACCUUCGGGUUAGUGGCGGACGGGUGAGUAACGCGUGGGAAUCUGCCCUCAGGAGGGGGAUAACGGUUGGAAACGGCCGCUAAUACCCCAUAUGCCGAGAGGUGAAAUGAAUUUCGCCUGAGGAUGAGCCCGCGUCUGAUUAGCUAGUUGGUGAGGUAAGAGCUCACCAAGGCAUCGAUCAGUAGCUGGUCUGAGAGGAUGAUCAGCCACACUGGGACUGAGACACGGCCCAGACUCCUACGGGAGGCAGCAGUGGGGAAUUUUCCGCAAUGGGCGAAAGCCUGACGGAGCAACGCCGCGUGAGGGAUGAAGGCCUCUGGGCUGUAAACCUCUUUUAAUCAAGGAAGAAGAUCUGACGGUACUUGAUGAAUAAGCCACGGCUAAUUCCGUGCCAGCAGCCGCGGUAAACCGCACUCGU
rnacentral:rRNA from 1 species